rnacentral:rRNA from 1 species
UGGGGAAUUUUGGACAAUGGGCGAAAGCCUGAUCCAGCAAUGCCGCGUGUGUGAAGAAGGCCUUCGGGUUGUAAAGCACUUUUGUCCGGAAAGAAAUCCUUGGCUCUAAUACAGUCGGGGGAUGACGGUACCGGAAGAAUAAGCACCGGCUAACUACGUGUCAGCAGCCGCGGUAAUACGUAGGGUGCAAGCGUUAAUCGGAAUUACUGGGCGUAAAGCGUGCGCAGGCGGUUUGCUAAGACCGAUGUGAAAUCCCCGGGCUCAACCUGGGAACUGCAUUGGUGACUGGCAGGCUAGAGUAUGGCAGAGGGGGGUAGAAUUCCACGUGUAGCAGUGAAAUGCGUAGAGAUGUGGAGGAAUACCGAUGGCGAAGGCAGCCCCCUGGGCCAAUACUGACGCUCAUGCACGAAAGCGUGGGGAGCAAACAGGAUUAGAUACCCUGGUAGUCCACGCCCUAAACGAUGUCAACUAGUUGUUGGGGAUUCAUUUCCUUAGUAACGUAGCUAACGCGUGAAGUUGACCGCCUGGGGAGUACGGUCGCAAGAUUAAAACUCAAAUGAAUUGACGGGGUCAUAGCUGUUUCCU